rnacentral:rRNA from 1 species
CCUACGGGUGGCAGCAGUGGGGAAUAUUGGACAAUGGGCGAAAGCCUGAUCCAGCCAUGCCGCGUGUGUGAAGAAGGCCUUCGGGUUGUAAAGCACUUUCAGUGGGGAAGAAAGCCUUGGGGUUAAUACCCUCGAGGAAGGACAUCACCCACAGAAGAAGCACCGGCUAACUCCGUGCCAGCAGCCGCGGUAAUACGGAGGGUGCGAGCGUUAAUCGGAAUUACUGGGCGUAAAGCGCGCGUAGGCGGUCUGAUAAGCCGGUUGUGAAAGCCCCGGGCUCAACCUGGGAACGGCAUCCGGAACUGUCAGGCUAGAGUGUAGGAGAGGAAGGUAGAAUUCCCGGUGUAGCGGUGAAAUGCGUAGAGAUCGGGAGGAAUACCAGUGGCGAAGGCGGCCUUCUGGACUAACACUGACGCUGAGGUGCGAAAGCGUGGGUAGCAAACAGGAUUAGAUACCCUUGUAGUC